UACGUAGGGUGCAAGCGUUGUCCGGAAUUAUUGGGCGUAAAGGGCUCGUAGGCGGUUUGUCGCGUCGGGAGUGAAAACGCCGGGCUUAACCCGGUGCUUGCUUUCGAUACGGGCAGACUGGAGGUAUGCAGGGGAGAACGGAAUUCCUGGUGUAGCGGUGAAAUGCGCAGAUAUCAGGAGGAACACCGGUGGCGAAGGCGGUUCUCUGGACAGUUCCUGACGCUGAGGCACGAAGGCCAGGGGAGCAAACGGG
rnacentral:rRNA from 1 species